UAAAGUACUCGGCUUCUAA
rnacentral:tRNA from 1 species